rnacentral:snoRNA from 1 species
UUGUCGUGAUGAGUGUAUUUUUUUUCCAGUUCUGCUACUGAACUGCAUUGAGGAAACUGUAUACCUUAGCUUACCUUUGUCUGAUCG